rnacentral:tRNA from 1 species
GGCUGUGCGGUCUAGUGGUAUGAUUCUCGCUUAGGGUGCGAGAGGUCUCGAAUACAAUUCUCGGCAUAGCCC